rnacentral:lncRNA from 1 species
AAAUUAAGGAUGGAAAGACGGAGCAGUUUCUAAAAAAUGAGAUGGUACAUUUGGAAAUAAUACCAUAAAGGCUCAUUAUUUUAAACAACUAUUGAUUACACCCUGGGGAUUUUCACCAACUCCACUUGAUACUGCUUUUAAAAUGGUAAGUACCUACAUAAUUUUAUGAUUUAUAGACUGCCUCGAUUUUAUAGAUAUUACAACAG